ACAUCUCACCAUCAUCCCUUUGGUGAACCUCCCUUACAAGAGCAUGGUGAAUAAUCUGUGAAUACAUUUGAUGCUCACCAAACUCCAAAAAGUUUCCAAAACAUGUUGCCCUAAACUUCUCCAGCUGACUUUUAUUCAAUUUCUUGGCAAUAAUUAUGGGGACUUCCAUGUCACACCAAUAUAUUACUUUUCCAGUGAAUUUUCUAUUGCAUUCCUCAUAGUAAAGAUCCCAUAACUGUAAAU
rnacentral:lncRNA from 1 species